AGGAGGGAGAGUGGAUGAGUGUGUGUUCGCUUCACAUGGGAGAGGCAAGGGCAGUGUGUCACAAACGUGGGGAGGGGGUCGUGUGUGCUUGUGUGAGUCUCUGCAACGAAACUGUUAUGGAGAAUAGGACCGGUGCAGUAAAGUGUACAUACGUAAAAGAGAGACAUGGCGAUUUGAAGAGUGAAACUGACUGCGAAGUUGAGUGAGGUUGAAUAAAUAUUCACAAAUGCUAUCACUGUCGCCAACUUCCUCAGGUUUUCUUGUAGCUCAAAUCUUGAUUGGUUUUCUUCCCCUUAAUUUUUCGGAUACUGUCACUAAAUUUUAAAACAGAAUCAUAUUAAUACCAUCCUCUCCUUUCCCGGCUUUACAGCGGAAGGGUAGAAAUUUAGGGAGGCUGACGGGUAUUUUUAGAGCGUUCUGGAGGGUGUGCGCCUGCGUCAAAGAGCUGUUACUUUGAUGCGGUAGCUUUUUUUUUUUUUUUUUCUUCUGAGGUGGGAUUCGGCUUUGGAAGUGCAAGUCUCACUGUAGGGGAGACCGUGUGUUUGUCCCGUGGCGAUGAGUAAAUUUCAAUACAAAAGGAUUAGAUUUAAAAAAGGGGCUGACGCUUACCAUAAAUGUCGUGUUUCUCCCUGCAAGCACUCUGAAUGAUUUUAGCGUGUUGAGAAGGCGUGACAGGACAGCCCAGAAGGAGGAAGGGGUGGGGGAAAGGAGGGAACUCCGUUUAACAAAUAAAAGAGAAUUAACUUCA